UAUCUGAUCACCCUUCCUCCCUGGUGUCCACUGCUGGUUAUCAUCUCAGAAAAGUAUGCAAGCGGAUACACACUUCCUAAAUGUUAGUCUCACUUGCCCUCCAUCUCAACCCCAGCCAGCUUGAAGAUUAGAACACAGGCAGCAAAAAGCUGCAAUGAAAACUCAGACUGGCUGAACAAGUUUUUACUGAGAAAAGAAGGGAAGGGCUGAGAGCGCCAUGAUGGGAGAAGAAAGGUGCUAUACACAAUCUGGGGAGAUGAGCUUCCAAGUUUCAAGUUUUCCACAUCGCUUUAAAAUGCUAAAAAACAACCAGGCACAUUAACCCCCAACUCAGCAAAACAUUUUCUUUUUCUGGAAUCAGCAUCUAAGCUAGAAGCGGGCUCGAGGGCCUACUAACUCUAACUUAGUUCCACGCCUCUGCCUGGCCUCUCAGGACUCCUGGCAGGUGGGUACCAUGUGGAGUGGUGCAUGCUCAGUGGCUGGUCACUGAGCAGAAGUCAAGGAGGGACUGGCUGUUUCAGGGGAUUCAUUCUGUGGUUGGUGCUGCUGGCUGGAGGCCUGUGGGAAGCAGAGCUACCCUCUUCCUGGCAGCUGAGAAGCAAAUGCCCCCUGGGAAGGCAUUUCCCUAAUGGCUUAACUUUCUUUCACAAGGUUCCUCCUCCUAAAGGUUCUGCUAUCACCCACUAGUACCAUUAGCUGGGACCCAAACUUUAACCUACAAACUUCGGGACAGGGGUGGGGUGGGGUGUGUAAGAUUCAUAACUAUAACAAGAAGCAGCAUCAGGGUGACACUCGUGUCACAAGAGCCUGAGGGUCUGUGUACCACAGCAGGAACACGCUCUACAUACCAGUUACACUCAGGUCAGAGAGCUCUGCAAUCAGAACAGAUAACAAGAGGCUACCCCAAGCCACAGCUAGAUCCCAGCAGGACACAGAACACAGCCAACAAAGCUAAUCAGAGCAGAGCGGACGAAAAAGAAUCUGCUCUGUUCUGCUUGUUUUGAAGCUGGAAUCUACACAUAGAGGUGUGGUAGGAUGCUUCUCCCUAGGGUAGCAGCCCAGCCUCCAGUUCCACCCCUCCCAGCAGUGCAAGGACAGGAACCCUAAGCCAGGAAGCUUUAGAUGUUGCUGUGGAAAGAAAGUGAGAGCACAGGAAAUGUGAAGCUUACAUGGUGCUUCACAUGAGAAUCCUGGGCAUUUUUUAUUAGUAGGAUCUGGUCCUCAAAGUACAUCUUCUAGAAUCUUCUAAGCAGAAAUCACAUGAUGUGAUGAUGUGCGUUUUCAACGUUUGCUCACAACAUUAAUGUGCUGUGAGUGCUCCUUUGUAGAAGCCAAGUUCAGUCUCCAGAUUUCUAUGACCCUCCCACAUUAACAGAACAGUGUUGGUGUAGUGACACUCACCUAUGACCCCCUACACUAAGCAUGCUGAAGCAGGAGGACUGUGAGUUCAAGGCCAGCCUGGGCUACACAGGGAUAGCUUAUCUAAAAACCAAAAACGAGACGGGUACUAUUUGGUACAAAAAUUAGAGGGGGAAAGGAUUAAAACUUUGAGAGAAAACUGCCUCUCCCCAGUUUUCAAGAGUGUGUUCCAUGGACCAGGAAUUAGCAUCUGUACUUGUUCUGCCUAGAUGCUCAAACACCUGGCCAGCAGCUGGCUGGGGCCCAGCAGGUUUUCUGCAUCCUCCAGCUGACUCAGUUGCAGCCCAAACCUGGUCCAUAGCUACAGCACACCAACUAAACAUGACCAAAGUGACAGAGGGCCACUGUGGUACUAUCAGGAAACCAAAUAUGUUUUGAGGUUCUGUCAAGGACCUCCUGAAUCUAACUGGUUGGUGAUAUUAUUUCCUGCCUUACUUAGCCUUCCUAGUUCCUUUGCCUCUCCAUAGAAUUUCCCCUCCUCCUCCUCCUCCUCUUCUUCCUCCUCCUCCUCUUCUUUUUUUCUUUCUUUUUUCUUUUUUUGGUAUUGUCUUACUGAGCUAGGGUCUCACUAUGUAUCUCUGAAACUUGCUAUAGAAACCAAGCUGGCCCUGAACUCAAGACAUCUGUCUGAGUGCUGGAUUAAAGGCAUGCAUUUCCAUGCUGGGCUUCUCUAUGGAUUUUAGGACAACCCUGUUUAUAGCUGUGAAAAGAUCUUAGAAGAUUCAAACAUACAGACUUAGCUGCCUUCACUUAUUCUCAUACCCCAAGCAUCCUCAUAUAUAUAAUUCACAUUUAAGGAACUUUCUCACAUUUAAGGCUAGGCAGUCUGGGCAUGUUCUUCACUUAUAACAGAUCUUAGCUUGAACAGUCAGUCACAGCUCAAGGAUUUAGAAGCCAUCUCUGAUCUAAAGGCUCUGGGGAUUUCUGUUGAAACAAAAGGACCAUCUUUGCCACUGGCACAGGCUUUUAGGACUAUAUUAAAAGCAAUAGGGGAGAAAUCUCUAUAGGAAAAAAGCAAAUGAACAGUUUUCCAAACUCUGUACUGUGAUCUAGGUUCAAUAAAGGAGGGGCCCUGGAGUAGGCAGAGAGAAUCUUGAGCUAAACACUUUGGAGCACUGCAAACCAGGCACUGGAAGUCUAAGGAAUCUCACAGAAUACAUCUGCUGGGAUCAAAGCAGGCCAACAGCUCAUCAGCCUAGCUAAGUUAUAAUCAGCCCUGUACUAGUACAAAAGGGCUAGAUGCCAGAUUCCAGCAUGUCUGCCACUGCUGACCCUGGGGGGUGAGUAUUACCCUUUCCUGGGCCUUGGUUUCCUCACUGGACUAUACACUCUGAGUUCCUUUCUGGUCUGCUCCAAACAACUGCAGGAAGGUCUUCCUAGUUCUACCACCUUGUCCUGCCUAUUCCUGUGCAAAGACAGACACCUAAGGGCAGGUGUAUACCUAGAUGCAGAUGCAAAAUGGUUCCAGCAUGCUGUUCAUGCCAGACGAUCAACAUGAUGGGGGAAUGUCUUUCUGUAUGCUACAAAUAUGUGUUGUUCUGAUUGGUUGAUAAAUAAAGCUGUUUGGCCUAUGGCAAGACAACUUAAAGGCAGGUGGGAAAUUCAAAGAGAGAGACAAGAAGGAGGAGGGAGGAGACACCAGCAAGCCACCCAAGGAGCAACAUGUAAUGGAACACAGGUAAAGCCAAAGAACAUGUGGCGAUACACAGAUUAAUGGUUAUGGGCUAAUUUAAGAUAUAAAAGCUAGCUAGCAAGAAGCUUGAGCCAUAGGCCAUUGCCAUGCAGUUAUAAUUAAUAUAAAUCUCUGUAUGUUUACUUGGGAGAUGCGAGUGGGAGAGAUUUGUCCCAGCCACCAGCAGGCCGGGGCACAGGAAAACUUCCAGCUAUACAUAACCAACCCAGAAGGUACCCUUUACACUUCUUGGUCACCUGAGCUCUGGCUCCCAUAUUUGACCUUGUGGGUUCUGUGAGUUCUUCUAAGCUUGUUUCCUAUGGAAUGCAAUGCUUUCUACUAUUUAAUGAGUGUUACUAUCUAGACUCCCUGCCUGUUUAGUGUCUUUUUCUGCUUCAGGGAUAAAAUACUCUGACAAAAGCAACUUAAGGAAGAAAGAGUUUAUUCUGGCUUAUAGUUCAAGGGUAGCCAGUCUUAGUAGGGAAGUCAUGGCAGCAGGAGCUUAAGUCAUGCUUCACUUUGGAUCCAGUCAGGAAGCAGACAGUGAUAAAUACUUCCCAAUGCUCAGCUGGCUUCCUCCAUUUUACACAGUCAAGAUGGGUCUACCCACAUCAAUAAGUACAAUCAAGAUAAGCCCCCACAGGCUUGCCCAGAGGCCCCUCUCCCAGGUGAUUCUUGAUUCUGUGAGGUUGACAGUUAAUAUUAACCAGCAGCACACUGUGCCUGCCACCCUUCCACACGCAGCACAGCUUUGCUCUCACCCAGGGUUCACCACCCUCUGUUAAUCUCACUCUCUUCACCUACCUCUUCACCCAUCUUUAAAGUUCAGACUGUUCUCCUGCCCAAGUGAUCACCACAGAGCAGAUGCACAGCAGGACCCGCACAGCUCCACACCCACAAGUUGAACACAAUGUCACCCACCUGACCCUCUGCAGGAGAAAUUGGUCCUUGCAAACAGAUGUGAGAGGGUCAGAGACAGGCAGGGUACACUGGUCCUCUGAUGUAACCACAGUGGCCAAGCAAUAGCUUCCUCCCUGCAAUCUGAACUACUGCUCUUCAGAAGGUCCCAUGCUUACUACCAGACAUCCAAGCCUGGAGUCAGAGCACAACGGUGCCUUGCUGGGUCUCUCUCCUCUUAGCUUCAUGGACCCCACAGCCCAGAGUCUCCAUACAAGCCUCUCUGCUCAACAGCUCCUACAGACAGGGUUCCAGGCUUCACCUGGCCAAACUUUACCACCUGCAAGACACUGCUCCUCCACUUGACUUUCUUGUUUCGAGAGUGUAUGUAGGGUUUGCUAUGGGCAUACCUAUGUGGAGAUUCUGCUGCUGGAGGAGGGGAGGCUGCACACCCUCACUUUCUCCACAGCAUCGUCUAGCUGUUUAGAAGGGCAGACCAAUGAGGUGGGUCCCAUGUCCACCCACUUCACUGAGCCCCUUCUCAGAUGCCUGCAAGUUCCAAUUCUUCCCACCACUGGAAUCUUGCUUUGCUAUUCUCAAGUGCAUUGUUUCCGAUGUUUCUACUCUACUUCCUGGGUUCCCCCUCACACACACAUAUACCCUGAGGCUUCCCUGGAAAGCCUGGUUCUGGUCUGAGUGUGCUUAUUGGAACCUUGAAGCACAGCAAGCUGCCAGGGCAUGGCAAUCUCACUCAUAAUGCCAGAUACUGCAGACAGAACCCUUCUGACCUACAGCUUCCAGCACCACACCACCAUGUCUGAUUUCUUUCCAGCCAGCAAUGUACUUGUGUGCAACCUCCACCUCCAGAAUCCUCCAGGUCUGGUUUAGCCCGUUAUCUGAGGUCUUAGGGCUGGACCUGCCAUUCUGGCAGCUUGGAGUCCUCAGCUCUGAAGUUGCCUAAUUUUUUUGUUUGUUUGUUUGUUUUCUCUUUCCUAACUUCUCCACCCUUUCUGAACUUCUUAGCUCAUCUACAGUGAUGUUGUAUUUCCAAUGUUCACUUCUGGUUCUUGCAAAGGGGUUUCUGGGCAAAAGAGAGGUGUGCAGUCUAGUCCAUAAAAAUAGAAACUGAGGCAGUGUGUUUAACUGUUAUGAUGGCAGAAUUGUGGCAGCCUGUGAGGGCAGAGUUCUAGAAGCAUCUUGCUUAACAUACUGCACUAAGCUAAGCAGCACUGAGAUCCAUCACAGGAAAGAGAAACUUCCAUAACUAUUUAGCAUGUGUUCAUCAAACUUAAAAACUGCCAAAGACCUGCAGAGAGAACUGGACACAGGGAAUAUGCUUCUCAAAGGCAGCCUCUUAGCUGGAUGUAGUGGUUCUGCACACUUCUGCAGCCCAGGCAUUCAUGUUUCAAACAACAGAACAAUCAAGGCAGUCUCUUGACACAGUAGGUAUGGUCCCUUCUCCCCAGUCAGAAGGCAGUGAAAGUCCAAUCGUGUCACCCUUGCACACUCCAGCACUGCUAAGGACUCAGGACACACUUGGCUUCAGUACUGUCCCUCAAGCCAUGUCAUUCAUUCAAGGGAUCCUGUGAUACUGGCACUUUCUCAGCCCUCAGAACUAUGAAUGAAGGCCUGGACCACAGUAGACAGAAAAAUAUGCCAAACAGAGCUUGGACCAGGGGGUAUCUUGGCAGAAGGAAGUGGGGUCACGGGGUCUUUAAGCACCCCAGGUCUAGUUUACACAAUUUACCAACAAGGCUCACAAGAUCCCAUGGGGCUCAGUGCCUAUCCCCACCCCAUGUGACAGAGGUUGGAAGAGGAUGAGGGACUCAGCAAGGCAUCCACCUGUACAGGUUUCCUAGGGAUUUAGUUAGGUCCCCUUCCCAGACUCCAUGUCACCUUUUGCUGUUUCCUCUCCCAGAACUAUGUGGUCUCAAAACACUGGCUGUGAUAUGGCUGUCACUAUGAAUUGUAUCAGGAGGUGAGUGGGUAGGCCUGAAAGGUGACUGAGUCACAAGAUGCUGUCCCCUCUCAUGGGCCUAUAUAGUCAUGGCCCUCCCUACCCCCCGCCCUAUUAGUGAUGUUCUCCCACAUGAUACUGCAAGACAGUCCAUGCCUGAAAACUAGGCCCCAUCGCCCAGCCUCCUGGGCCCGAAAGGUAACCCCAGGAUACCCAGCCUAUGGGGUUCCUAGUGCCCUCUAACCCAGGUAGGGACAGCCUCCAUAUGGUCUUGCUCUUAAUAAAUUACCUAGUCUGGGGAAUUCUGUCAUUUCACCAGCAAACAGACUUAAGACAGAAAUCUUCCCCGCAUCUGUCAAAUCCUACCUACUCUUUACAAGAUCUAUCCUAACAUUGCUCUCUCUGCAAGUCCACUUAGUCCACGACUGCCACACACUGAAAGGAUGCCUCCCCACCUCCCCCAGAAACCAUUCCCACUGUACCUCUUCUGGCAGCAUCUACGGACACCCAGAGCUCACACACUGAAACAAAAGGCUUUGCCUGGAGGUCACCGGUGUGACCUUCUCUUUCCUACCACCGUGUAAGUCCUGGGGAAAGUGCUGGCUUUUUCACCCCCUAGGGAAGUGGUUCUCAACUAAUGCUGUGACCCCUCAUGUUGUGGUGACCCCCAACCAUAAAAUUAUUGUUGCCACUUCAUAACUGUAAUUUUGCUACUGUUAUAAAUCAUAAUAUAAAUAUCUGAAAUGCAAGAUAAAAGGGUCGAAACCCACAGGUUGAGAAUCGCUUCUAUGGGCUCUGGAAUGGGAGAACCAUCCUUGGGUCCAGCAAACAGCUCCAUAGGACACUCUCUCUGUUGCCUACAUCCCCCUCCAUCAAUAUCAAGUCCCUCCCACCCCAGGUGCUUUUCUUCAGCGACCAGUCUCCUGCUUUGCUUCCCUCUUUGGACACCCCAUGCCAUCUGUAUGCCUGUAUCUCUGUCCACAUGCAGUGGCCCUGCAGUGUCUCCUUGGCCGUCCCAGCUCCCCUAGAUUCGGCACAUUGUAGAAAGCCACCUCUAAGCCAGGAUUCUGGUGCAGCUCUUGCCCCUCCCUAGGUCUGGACCCACCUCUGAAGCUACGUAAUACCUGGUACCAGGCACAACACUCUCUGCCAAUAUCCCCACAAAAAGUGUUUUACCAUUCUCCAUUCCCUGUACUUCAGUACCAUCUUACCUGACCAGGCCUGGUUUAAAGAGCAGCAAGAGAUGAAAGUUCCACUGACCUCUAAAAUAGAUCCUUAAGUCAUUCUUGUAAAUGCUGCUAUUAAAUUUUAAGGCCUAUGACGGGAUGGCCCCAGUCACCUCCAACUCACAGGAAUCAGCUUCUCUUUAAGCAUCAGCAAACUGACCCCGCCUCUUCUCUGUACCCUCCUGCCUCCUUCCCUGGAGAUCCUAAACCGUCCAUUACACACUGCUGCCUGCAAUUGCUCUCCUGACGCCCCUGUUGUAACUUCUCGCAACACAAGUAUGUCUAUUCAUUGAAUCAGACAUGAUUUCACAGGACCACAGGCUGCGCUCAUUUCUUCUGAGUGAGCUGUGGCAGGCUUCACUGAACUGCCACCGAGCACCAAAAGAAAGGUCUAGUUUUGAGAAGCUGGUUCAAGGAAGUACACAAGCAUAUUAUGGUUCCCUAUUACUUCACCUGCUGAGGAUAAAUGACCACUAUGGCUCUUCUUCUGGGAGACCAGAACAGAGAGUCACAUGGGUGAGAUGGAGCAGGAGGCUGGGAACAGCACAGCCUCAUGCCUACCCUUCUGAAUUAGGAAACAAAAUUGCCAACUGGGGAGGGCUUCAAGCUGCUGGAGGGUGGGCACCCACAGUGACUCCAUAUUCCCCACACCCAUGGAAGAAGACACCCAUUCUCCAGGGCCAUAACUACAGCAAGCCAAAGGAUGGAUGGAUCAGUGUGGUGUCUUGCUCUGGGCAAGGGGAGACCUGCCCUAGAGUCAGCCAGGUCCCAUCCAUGCCAUGGCCUCUCUGAAGGGCAGCUAAGGAUGCCUAGAUAUGGGCCAGCUGGUGCCUCCAGGACAGUAGCUAUGUACUUUUUAGUGACACCCCUCAUGGCCAGAUCAUCUCUCCUCAGUGUUUCCUUCUAUUUUGGGUGUAGUCUACUGGCCUGAACUCUUGUGAUUCCCUGGUUCCCCAAGACAGCUACAGGUUCAGCUCUAAGGACAGGGGCCUUGUGCCAUCCCUGAUCAAAGCUCUCUGUGAGCAUCAUCCUGCUGCUUUUCCACCUUGGUCCAUUGGCCUUUCCCAGCUUGAGAUCCAACUAUGUUCCUACCCAGGCCUCCGUACACUAGCCGUAUGUCUGUCUGCGCCCACUCUACUCUCCAUCAAGAGACUAGACUCCCUCAGAGUACUGGUCUCCCACUCAGCCGUCCCUUCCUAGACAGAUGGUUCUUGUCCCAGCUCUGAGUGUGCCAACCCCUGCACACCCAGCAGCCUUCCUCCUUCAUGUCCUUACCACGCCUGCCUAACCAUCAUUACUUAUGGUCUAUACUGCCUCCUGCACCUCUUGCAUUGUUCCCUGGGUAUAUGAAACAUUUACCACAGAAGUGGCUUGGAAAAUGAAUCUGGGUAAGGUACUCUGAAGAAGUGUCAGCCUGCACAUGAGAAACUGAAUCUGGACAGCAUUUAAGCCACUGCUGGUAACCAGUUUUAAGCUCCAUUACACCUGCAAGAUGCAUCAGUCUCUUCCCCACCUUCUGCACAGAUAACCAUACAGAAAAAAAAAGACAGGAGAACCUGGGAACAGUGGUAAUUCUCAAAGGUAAUCACUCUAAGACAGCCUUGUAAUUGUAGCUGAUUUUGUUUUUAGACAAAGUCUCACUAUGUAGUCCAGGGUUCCCUAGAUCUCAAGACCCUCCUGCUUCAGACUCCUGAGUGCUGGGAUUACAGCAUUUGCCAACAGCCUAGCUGUGGUUGAUGUUUUAAUUUACCCAUUUGUCUUCUGGAGAAAUAAACUACUCUGUCUGCUCCCCAAAGAGAACAAUUAGUAUAUUCUUUGCCGACAUUUGUGUAAAAGCAUGAAUCAUAGAAGUAAAGGGGGGGGGAGGAGAAAACUUAGCACUUUUCCCUUUAAUAAUCUGAUGUAUAGGUUUUAUUUCAGAGCAAGGCAGUGACUUCAGGGAAGUCUGAGGAAGCAGCUGCAGCCAGGUAAGAUGCGGAAAGCCGAUAGGUUUGAAGCAAAAUAUGGUCGGGGUGUAUAGGGGAUAAUGGCUCAGCAACUACAUCACUGCACUCUCCAGGGAGUACUGUCCCUGCCACCUCUGAGAGGUUCCCACAGAGCCAGAGACUUCUUCAGGUUUUACCCUUAAAAUCGCCUUCAGGACCCCAGUGGGGAUCUGCACAAGCACCUCCAUUUGAGGGUUCUGACCGGCUCCAGCAUAUGUGUUUUUGAAAGAAGCGUUGGCAGCUUUAAAUUCAGGCACAGGUCCACGUGUCUUCAGCUCACACACUUGAUUCUACCAUUUUAAUCCACCUCGGAGGAGGGGGAUGCUUGUGAGCAUGUGUGAAGAGGCCCUCCACCCACUGCAAGAAGGGCUUAGCUGGACAAGUACGCACGAGCUACCCACCACGGGCUGGUGUCCUACCUCUGCCCUCUCAAAACUCACCUCGGGAGCACUCAGUCUCUACCUGGCCCUGGACCCCUCCUGUCCACCCUCUUCCCAGAUAGUAAGCGGGCACGUCUCCAGCCUCUCUUUCCAAUGUGGACCCUGGGCCACCAAAAGGUAGUAAAGCGUCUGGGCCUGGAAGCCAUGGCGCAGCCUCGGACUUUCUUAAACACCAAAGGGGCUGGAGACCAAGGCCCCUCCCUGGGCUGCGCCCGAAAACCGGAGAGAGAAAGAUCUCUGCCUUUGUCUCUCUUUUGUGGUGCUGGAUAUCAAGCUCACAUCUCAUGGAUACCAGAUCCUGCUGAUUCCAGGUGGUAAGGUCUGGUUUGGUUCUAGCUGGAGAAGAGACUGAGAGGAGCAAAUAAGUAAUCAUUCCAGAAAUGACUUACCAAGCUCUCAAGACUCACUAAGCAUACGGCUUCUACCUUCCUGUAUCAACAGGACAAAGGGCUACUGUGGUCCCAAAGAAGAGGAGUCAAAUCCCAUUACAGAUGGUUGUGAGCCACCAUGUUGCUGGGAAUUGAACUCAGGACCUCUGGAAGAGCAGUCAAGCUCUUGACUGCUGAGCCAUCUCUCCAGCACGUAGUGAGCCUUUUCUAUCCCAAAUGAAGAACCUGCCGAUAGUGAUGACCCUGUUCAAAUUCUGCUUGUGGUCUACUUCCCAGCAAAUGGAUCCAUGCUCAGACCCGGGACAGGUGCUUUAGACAGUGAAUUGGUCUUCAGGCUGUGGUGAAUGGCCAUCAGUCUGUGAUCACCUCUUGCCUCCAGGCAGAGCCCACCAGUUCCAGGAAGAACAUCUAUGGACCCCUGACAUUGCACAAGUGAGGGACAAAAGCAGGUGCAGUCUCAUCUCAUUCUCAGAAGAGCACCAAGCACUGGCUGCCAUGAUGGUGCUCACAGGGGCUCUUAAAUUUAGCACAAGAACCUAAGACCCCUGAAGGGUCUCUGAGAGGUGCUGGACAAACAGUGAAAGCCAUGGAGGAGCUAUCCGGGGUGCUAAUUGGACUUGAGCUACUUCUUGGGGGAUGCUUACUAACAUCUCCAGAGACACUCAUGGUAACACUCAGCAAACACUGUUCUGAACCAGGUUCUUCCCUGCUGUGAGUGAAGAAUGGCAAAGGUCAGGAAGGACUGUAACACCCUUAAAGCACUGGGAUGGGAUAGAGAUAUGAUACUUUGUCAGUUGUGUACGUGUGACUAUUUUUUUCCUUUCUUUCCUGUGUAUGCAUACACGUAUAUAUAAGUAUUUACAUGUUGGGGGAUAUUAUUUUAAUGUGUAUUGCUGUGGAUAUCGCUUUAUAUAAAUAAAGCACUGAUUGGCCAGUGACCAGGCAGGAAGUAUAGGCGGGACAAGGAGAGAGGAGAAUUGAGGAAAGAGGAAGGAAAGAGAGUCCGGCUGGAGCCACCGCCAAGACAAGGAAGAUGUAAAGUACUGGUAAGCCACGAGCCACGUGGCUAAGUAAAGAUUAAUAGAAAUGGGCUGAAUAUAAGAGUGAGAGCUAGACAAUGAUAGACCUGAGCUAAUGGCCAAGCAGUUUAAAUAAUGUAAGAGUCUGUGUGUUUAUUUUAUAAGUGGGCUCCGGGACUGGCGGGACUUGGUGGUGGGAGCUGGAGAAAAAUUCUCCAGCUACAAAUGGCGCCCAAUGGCUCAAGUUUCCACCUUACACCUAACAAUAUUUAAUAACCAAUUCUAAACAGAGCCAAAACCAGGUUCCUGCUUCAUGUCUCAUAUGGGCAGCUAGACGCCACAAAACGCGGGUUUGAGCUACUGGCAGGUUCCUGGCGUGUGCACUUGACCUACAGUAUGGCGGGAAUGAGACCUGUGCCAGCAGCACAUUACGCUGUGUGGUAGAUUUAGUCUUUACUAAUAGAGAGAGAGAGAGAGAGAGAGAGAGAGAGAGAGAGAGAGAGAGAGGUUUCUGGGCUACACGCUGCUUUGAUAAAAGCGUAGACCCACUAUUUCUGAGACGUGAUGGCUCCCAGAGCUGGCGGAACCGCCAUGUUGGGAAGCUAAAGUGGGCGGAGCCAACAGCCACAGCGCUGUAGGCUUCAAAAAGAGAUAAAAAGGAAUAUAUACAGUUAUAUAAACAAAUAGUUUUUAAAAGUAAAGUCUUUAAAGAAACAAUAAAGGUAAUAAGCCACGUAAAGAUGGCUAUCACACAGAGAAUCUGGAUUAUGUUGUCUUUGAUAUUAGUAACUGAAGAAAAACAUUUGAUUGUAAAAGCUGUUCAGUUAUGCCAAAAUGUAAAUUUUAAAGGUACCUUGACUUCAAAAUUUGGAUAUAAGGAUAUGUUGCUUUGGAAAAGAGUCUCUGCUUUUGUUUCCACAGAAAGUCAGAGGCUAUGGAUUUGUUCCAGAUUAAGAUACAUCAGGUUUGACCAGCCAAGACCCCCUGAAAGGUCUCCAGUGACACCAUGGCCCAGAUGAUCCAACAUCCGGAACGGUUUCAGGCAACUGGCUCAGAUGAUACACCCUCAUGGACUACUCCAUAAUCCUAAAAUUUUCUUUGUGUCCCCAUAGAUACAGCGCCCCCCUCCAGCAGGAAGUAGUAAGAGAAGCUACGCCCAAAUCCCCAAAUAUAUCAAGCUGGCUUUAGAGAUGGAAUUGGCUCACUCCCCCUCUAAACCCAGACAUAUUACUUAAAAAAAAAAAAUGGUUAAGAGAUUCUUGUGUCCCAAAUCAGAAGAGCCCUCUGGUGUGGGACAGAGAAAAACCAAUAUUUUUAUUUAAAACAGGUUGAUUAUAAAUACAAUCUCUUUCUAAAGAAAAAAAGGGGAUAGUUUAGAUAUGAUAGGAUAAAAGGAUAGAUUAAUGAACCUAUUUUUAAAGAGUAACAACUUGUUUAAAAUGCUUUACAUUGCUAUAGAUUUGAGUUUAUUGAUACAAAUUUAAACUUAAUUUUGUUAUACUGUAUAUAUAUUUCUAUUCUUGUGUGAGGUAUUAUGUUUAUGUAACUCAUUUAAAAUUGUAAUGGAUAAUUAAAAAAUAGAUUAAUAAUUAUUCAUCUAUGAUAAUCAUAUUUGUAGCCAUGUUAGUUAAGUCUUCUAGGUAUACAUAGAUAUAUUUCAGAUAGGUAGUCUUCAAACACUUCAAAGACCUACAGAAUAUGGCAUUUAAAAUGUUUUAAAAAUUUAGACUUUCUGGACAGUGAGACAUGUCUGCUCCUGACAGCACCAAUUUACUUCAGAGAAGAGUAUGGGCAUCAAAGACACUCCAUAUGGAGUUUAUCUUCACCUUGACAAAAAUAGCCAUUUGGACAAGAAACUGUUCUUGCCUGGACUUCUUGAUCAACUUGACAUACAGGACCCAUAGAAAGGUAACCACUGAACUUUGCUUGACAAAAUGGUCCUUCAGGUUCCUGAUUUACAGAGAAAACUACAAGACAUUCUACAGGACACAAAAAAAAGUGAAUGAGAGACUCUAGGCCUGCGGGCUGAAGACUAAUGCCCCAACUUUACAAGAAAACUUUGAAUAACUGUCCAGGCUGUCAGCUGUCUCUGUCUACCCUACAAGACUCCUGAAAGUUGCUUGCAUCCUUUUCCCAUUUCUCAGGUAGUAUUAUAUCCUUCUGAGGUCUUUGAUGUGGUUAAAGACUAGAUACUUACAAUUUUCCUUAGUUAUGAUAAAAGAUAAGUUAGAUAUAAAACCUUAAACUCACAAAUAUAAGAUAGAUAUCUUCUUUUAUAUUAUAACUAUAAUUCUUACUCGAUAAUUAUUUUGUUAUAUGUAAUAUUACUAUGUUGAAGUUAAAACCUUCCUUUUUGAAAAAGAAAAAAAGGGGAAGUGCUGUGGAUAUCGCUUUAUAUAAAUAAAGCACUGAUUGGCCAGUGACCAGGCAGGAAGUAUAGGCGGGACAAGGAGAGAGGAGAAUUGAGGAAAGAGGGAGGAAAGAGAGUCCGGCUGGAGCCACCGCCAAGACAAGGAAGAUGUAAAGUACCGGUAAGCCACGAGCCACGUGGCAAAGUAAAGAUUAAUAGAAAUGGGCUGAAUAUAAGAGUGAGAGCUAGACAAUGAUAGACCUGAGCUAAUGGCCAAGCAGUUUAAAUAAUGUAAGAGUCUGUGUGUUUAUUUUAUAAGUGGGCUCCGGGACUGGCGGGACUUGGUGGUGGGAGCUGGAGAAAAAUUCUCCAGCUACAGUGUAUUACUUUCAUUUAUGUUGCAUUUAACUCUGUGAAGCUGUGUUACUGUGUCUGUCUAAAACACCUGAUGGUCUAAUAAAGAACUGAACAGCCAAUGGCGAGGCAAGAGAAAGGAUAGGUGGGGCUGGCAGGCAGAGAGAAGUAGGAGAAAUUUGGAAGAAAGGAAAAUCAAGGAAUACAAGAGGAAGGAGGAGGACUAGAGGGGCCAGUCACCCAGCCACCCAGCUACACAGCCAGACAUGGAGUAAGAAGGAAAGACAAGGUAUACAGGAAUAGAGAAAUACAAAAGCCCUGAGGCCAAAGAUAGACAGGAUAAUUUAAGUUCAGAAAAGCUGGCUAGAAAUAAACCAAGCUAAGAUCGGUCAUUUAUAAGUAAUAAUAAGCCUCUGUGUGAGUGAUUUAUUUGGGAGCUGGGUGGUGGGUCCCCCAAGAGAGCAAAAACAAACAACAUUUACAUGUGUGUGUGAACAUGGACAUGUCUGUGCAUAUGGAAGCCUGUGGCUGUCAGCAGGUAUAAUCCUCAAUCACUCUACACCUUAUUCACUGAGGUAGGAUUUCUCCAUUGAACAUGAAGCUCACCAAUACAGCUAGUCCAGCCAGCCAGCUUGCUCCAGGAUCCCCUGGUCUCAGGCUUCUGAGGCUAGAAUUAGGGUCAGACUACCAUGCCCACCUGGCAUUGACUUUGGGUUCUAGGGAUCCAAAUUCCAAUCUCCAUACUGGCACAAGUGCUUUAACCACUAAGCUAUGAGGGUUCAACUUCUGGGCCAUAAAUACCCAGGUACUCAGUCAAACACCAUUCUGGGUAUUUCUAUGAUGGUGGUUUGAGAUGAGUUCAAUUUUCAGGACAGAUAUUUUUUUUGUGUGUGUGUUAACCACAUUGGCCUCAGACUCAUUAUGUAGUGGAGAAUGACCUUGAAUUUCAAAUCCUCUGGCCUCUACCUCCUGAGUGCUGGUAUUACAGGCACGUGCCACCAUGCCUGGUGUAUAUGGUUUAGAAAUUGAAUCCAGGACUUCAUGCAUGCUGCAUGCUAGGCAAGCACUCUUCCAACUAAGCUAUAGUCCAAGAGAUCAACAUUUAAACGGACAGACUGAGUAAAGUAGAUGGCCAUCCCUAAUAGAGUGAGUGGGCUUUAUCCCAUCAGUUGAAGGUCCAAGUAGAAAAAUGAGCCACCUUUAAAUGAAAAAGAAUUCCUCCUUCCAGAUACAUCAGCCAGGCCAUGGUCUUUUUCUGCUUUUAAAAUCAAACAGAAACACUGGUCCUCCUGGGUUCGAGCUCUGAGCCUCUGGUCAGUCUGGACUGAGGCCAAACCAUCAACUCUCCUGGUUUUCAAAGCUUCAGACAUGGGCUAGAAUCAUACCAUGUAUGUAUCAGUCACAUCUGUGGUGAUAUUUUGUUUGUGCUCUCACAAAUAAAGCUUGCCUGGAGAUUGGAGUGUGGAGCUAGCCACUAGAGCCCAGGCAGUAGUGGCACACACCUUUAAUCCCAGCACUUGGGAGGAGGAACCAGGAAGUGAUAUGGCUGGGUGGAGACAGGAAGUAAAAGUAGGGUAGAAACAGGAGCCUGGCCCUUUCAGGCUGAGGAUUUGGUAGAGGUAAAAAGUCUCUCUAGUGGCUGACUCCUUUACUGAUCUUUCAGCAUUUACCCUAAUAUCUGGCUCCAGGUUUUUAUUAUUAAGACCAAUUAGGAUUCGUGCAACAAUGUUAUAACAUAUCUUAUAAAUCUCUCUCACCCCCAUGCCGAAGUGCUCAAUUUCUCUAGAGAGCCCUGCCAUGGGUAUAGUACUUAAUGAAACUGAACAAUUUCAUUUUAGAAUGUGAUUGGAUAUGAUAACAUAGGCCCCCCUUUUUUUAAUGUGUGUUCUGAAAAUACAAUACUAUUUUGUGAACUGUCUCCAAUUUUGAUAAAUUUAUGGUCACCAAUACCCUCUGCUUUUCAAGAAUCCACCAUUAGCAGGAUUACUGGGAGAUGCAGUGGCUGAGGCUGCUCCAACCUCUGUAUGACUGACUCCAGGAAAGGCUGAACCUGCUCCUCACGCCUUAUGCCUCUGAGAGACCCUGAGGGAAGUCUAUAAUCCCCUGCUGUUCUCAUCUGCUAGCUGAGCUAUGCCUGCCACCCUGUAAGCAAAGUAAGGUAAAGAUGACUUCUCAUAUCCCUGUGACUCUAGUCAGCUAGAAUUUAGCACCAAACACUAUCACCAGCUAAGAGUGUCUGAUGAAUGGUGCAAAGCAAGGGACCAUAGCUUCAUCAGAAGAGCAAUAAUGAGUGGCCUGGCAACCUCUCUCACCAUGGAGCUCUCAUCUUGAGGCUCUAUUCUAAUACUGCGGACAAUAUCUGCCUGUGCAAUGUCAGCCCUACCAUCAGAAGUGAAGGCACCAAACACAAGCUCGGAAUUGUCUGUGUCCUGUGAACUGG